GGGCACCACCAGACCCUCCCCCGUAACCAUGGGAACAGGGUCCCGGGCCCAGCCCUGCCCUGCACAGGACCUGGUCCACCUGGGCCCUAAGGACUACAUCCCCAGGAGCUCAGCCUCUUUUUCUGCACCUCCAGAAAACUUCCUGGCUUCAUCCUUGUGUCUGCCUCCAGGAGCAUCCCAGGAAGAAACCAAGUGGGAAUUCCAUCUGCACCAGGGCUCUCUCCUAGCCCUGGAAUUUUCUGUCAAAGGAGGAGGCCCCACUGCAAUCCUGGGAUAAUGACCCCUCCUCCAGGCUGGGUGCUUGCAGCUGUCCCCCCUCCCGACCUCACCCAGAGACUGGCCUCUCCCCCAUCCAGAAGCCUUAUCGAUGACCCCCCCCAACCUUCUUGUAACAGGUGUGCAACUGGCUUGCACUCCCGCCCCCCCAACUGCGUGUAGUUCUCCUGUCUACGUAUGAUAUCAUGCCACCUAGUAUCACCGACUCAGUAAAGACCUGUUUCCAGGAG